AGGGGUGUGACUCAGUGAUAGAACACCUGCUUUGCUUGCAGAAGGUCCUGGGUUCAAUCCCAGGCAUCUCCU